GAUGAACGCUGGCGGCGUGCCUAAUACAUGCAAGUCGAACGAACGGACGAGAAGCUUGCGUUUCUGAUGUUAGCGGCGGACGGGUGAGUAACACGUGGAUAACCUACCUAUAAGACUGGGAUAACUUCGGGAAACCGGAGCUAAUACCGGAGAAUAUUUUGAACCGCAUGGUUCAAGAGUGAAAGACGGUCUUGCUGUCACUUAUAGAUGGAUCCGCGCUGCAUUAGCUAGUUGGUAAGGUAACGGCUUACCAAGGCAACGAUGCAUAGCCGACCUGAGAGGGUGAACGGGCACUGUGGAGCUGAGAGACGACCCAGACCCCUACGGGAGGCAGCGGUACGGACGCUACGGAAAAGGGCGAAAGCCUGCAGGAGCAACGCAGCGUGAGUGAUGCAGGUCUUCGUAUCGUAAAACGCUGUUAGUAGUGAAGACCAUAUGCGUAAGUAACGGUGCGCAUCUGGCGGGUACUUAAGCAGAAAGCCCCGGCUAACUCCGU
rnacentral:rRNA from 1 species